CAUUCUAAAGUAAAUGAUUAAAUCCUCUAAAUUAUUAGAUCCUUAAAAUGAAUAAGUUAUGGGGAUAAUAAAUUCAUAGCCUUCCAUUAAGAUGGAUGAUAAUGGGUCUAAUAGUCUCUAUAAAUAUUGGAGGUGCCUUACGUCUGGUGUUUAUUUAGAUAUUAGAAUUAUCAUUCAUUAUAUGAUGACUUUAUUGUACUAUCUGAUG
rnacentral:lncRNA from 1 species